AAUCGCUGAUAGGGAAUGAAAGACAUGUUUUUUGGUGUGGUGACAGCUGCUCUCUCCGGUCCGUAAACAUCGCGCACAAGGCGUCGGGAUUCCCUUUGUCCCCCACGUGUGGAUGAGCGGUGGAGAAGACGAGGUGUACAUGUGAAGGUGCCGUGGUUGGACAGCGAGGGAGAUACUCGAGGAAACAUGAGGAAGAGCAGGAGUGUUCUCACGGUGUCUCCCAACAAUGACAGCAAAGAGCCUCCGGAUUGCUGCCUCAGUGAGUCCUUCACAUCCCCGUCCUGCACGCUGGGUGUGGACCUGCGCCGCGGCCGACGCCGUUUCUCGGGAAACCUGCAGCUGCCCCCGUUGUCAUGG